rnacentral:lncRNA from 1 species
GGAAUUAUGUCAUUCACCGAGAAAACAUCAAGCUGCAUAGAAGUAUAUAUAUAAAACAUCGAAUUUGCAAAUACUAUUUCUGAAUCAAUGUUCAAAUUAAACCUUAAGCUGCAAAAGUUGCAGACAAUUCCUUUUUUCGGAAUAUAGAAUCUGUUCUUACGGAUAUUUAAAUUUUCCAACAAAACCAAUUAUAAAAUAAGAGAGGAAAAAAUAAAAUAGCAUUUUUCCAUGUUUAUUAGUCAUAGUGCCAAAGUGCCACUAAGAUUUUGCAGGUAUGCCCACUCAUCCACCAGUGAAGCACCUUCUGUUAAUAAGCUUAGACUUGAGCAACACUUGUGUUUAUACCAUAUGAUUCUACCAAAUAGUUUUAAUUCAAUAAUUUAGGGUUUAGUAUAGAUUUUGAAAUAAGAAAUUUUGUGAAUUUUAGAAGUUUUUGCAAUAAUUUCAACUCUUAAAGAAAGCAGACCUGUUUUGUGCAUUAUAAUCAGUGAAUGAUAUCGGAUGAAAUGACCAACUUAAGUUUUGGAGAUUUGGCUGUUGGUGGUUAAUAGUUAUGGGGAGUGAGUCAAUGGUACCUGUUCCCUCAUGAGUUUUAACUUCUGCGCUUGAGAAGCUGUGUUUAGGUGGCUGCCCUUGAGGUUGAACCUUCUACCACCAGUUUCUUCUUUCCCCGCACUUCCCCUGUUUUGUAUAAGUAGCACCUUUCUAUGAGUUGGUUAUCUUAAUAAAUCAUAAUAAUAACAAUGACAUUUAAUAAUUAAAGUGUAAAAUUUUCGAUCUCCUACAGCAUUUAAAAACAAAGCAUCAAAGCCUAAUACCUGAGUGCUGGAUUGGGUCAGCCAAGUAUUGUGGGGAAAAAUAGUUGGUGAAAAUCUCCUCCACAGAUUCAUCCUCCCAUUCCAACCUUCCCCACCAGGUUAGAUCUCCUUCAAUUUUCUUUAAGCUCUUGGCGGCACUGUUUGAAUCGAUUGGGAGCCUCCUUAGCCUCGGGCAAUCGAUCACAGAGAUUAUUUCCAAUGAAGGGAAGAGCAGUGCCCCCUGAUAGAUGCUCUCUAGCAUUGGCAUACCACCUAAUACUAGAGAUGUGAGCCUUGUGAAUAUGCUGGCGUGCUGUGCAAUUGAAGUUACAUAUUCAAUACUUAUCACUUCUUUCAUGGAUUCACAGGAUUGAACACUAAGUGACUGAAGGCAUGCAGCAUAAAUAAGCCAGGUCAAGUUCAACAGUUUUGGACAACUCCAAAUCUUGACAUCACGAAGACUGUGGAAGUGUUGGUUGCUUCUCGCUAUCAACUGAGGGUUGGGGGUAUCAUAUGAUUGUUCCAAUCCUUUGCCUCCCUGUUUUUCCAUACUAAUUUUCAUUUCUUCCAAUUGAAGACAAUUGAAUAUAACAAGAGUCUCCAAAUAGUUCAGAGAUAUUGAUGAUAGCUCAAGCAACAAGAAAUCUCUGCAGUCAUGUAUACUUAAUCUUCUUAUGCACCUUUGUAAUUUGUAGGAGCUCAGUAAUUUAUUGAGAGCAGCAACAUUACGGAAGGAGAGAGAUAACUCAUCCAUAGCUUCUAUGGACUCCAAUUCCUCCAAUAAGGUGGUGCGAAAUGCAGAUAAAGCAUUUCCAUCAUACAUACUGAACAAUUGUAAUGAUGAAAGACUAGAUAUCAAUUGUGGAGGAAUUAUAAGUGCAAGCAUACCGUCAAGUAACAAGCACCUCAGUUUUGUCAACUUCAUGAUCUCAAUCGGCAGCUCUUUUACUUGUGUCAUUGAAAGAUUAAUGUAUUCCAAGUUCAUUAAUCUGUCAAUCCCAUCAGGUAACUCAGUUAAACAAUGAGUGGCUGACAAAUCUAGAACUCUUAUGAGAGGCAUGAAUUGGAAGAAUCCUCUUGGAAACGUCUUCAAUUGAAUGCACUCCCUCACAAAGAGAGUCUGGAGAGUAGAGCAAUGUGGUGUUCCUGGGAGUUUCUCAAUAUUCCAUCCCCACAAUGAUAUCCUUUCUGCCUCCUUCCAGCUGGUGACUCUCUCAGCCUCAACACGCCCAAGAGAUUCAGACACCAAAAUCUUGUUCAUCUUUUUUCCACAUUCUUGACCUAUCCAUAGAGCCAUGUCCUGUAUCACAUCGUGCAUCUUGAUACAUUCUUUAAAUCCAUCACCCUCCUCUAACAAGCUUGCAUUCUUUAGGUCUUCAAUGAUUUUGUGUCCUCGUCUGCAUGCUUCAUAUAUGUCCUUACGGUCAAAAAAUCCUUCACCAAUCCAAUGUUCUAUAAGCUCAUCAUUCCUAAUUUCAUAUCCCUUGGGAAACACAGAACAGUAUAUGAAACAAGAUUUGGUGAUAUCGUCUGUCAAGCUAUCAUAGCUUAGUUUCAAAACAUUAAACUGAUCCUCCAUACCUGAAAUUUCCACUGGGAAUUUCUCCAGUUCUUGGAUUGCCUGAUCCCAUUUCUCGGGAGAAUUCUUGUCAGCCAUUGCUCGUCCAACAGUAACAAGGGCAAGUGGCAAGCCUUUGCACCGCUCUGCCACCUUUUCAGCAAGCUGCGGUAUAUCAGGGUGAGAAUUCAGAGUGUUCUCUCCGACCUUCUUCAUGAACAAAGCCAAGGCUUCUUCCUGUUCCAAACACUCUACUCUAAACUUCCGUUCAACUUCCAUUUCAGUGCAUGUUUUCUGUAAUCGAGUUGUGAUUAUUACUCUGAAAUUCAGAAGACUUGGAAGAGGAGGAACUCCUAUUCUUGAGAGAUCAAAUGGUUGCCAUACAUCAUCUAAAAGUAGCACAAAGUCUUUUGUUUUCAAGAUGUUGAAUAUUUUUAUAGCCCUUUCAUCCUCUGUUCUACCUUGCCACAUGCUAUCCGGGAUCUGUAAUUGAGUCAGAAUUCCCUCUUGAGCCGCUCUCACACUUUCUUGCACCUUUUCUUUCUUGGACACGGCAACCCAAAUCACUGUAUGGAAUUGGUUACUUGUUUUGAGGAACUCGUUGUUGAUUUUCUUCAUUAGUGUUGUUUUUCCAAUGCCUCCUGUUCCAUAUAAUCCAAUAAUUCUUACUCUAUUGUCGGUGAGGCAGCUGCACACUCUCUCAUACAACCGAUCUAAGCCCACGAUAUGCCCAAGAGGCAUUUCAUCUACCACAGCACGAGGCAACCUGUCUGGUACAGAAUAAAAAUGUUCGAUAAGCUCAUCAUUUCUAAUCACAUAUUCCUUGGGAAAUAUAAAGCAAUAUAUGGAACAAGGUUUGGUGAUAGAUAAUAACUUAGCUUCAAAACAUGAAACAAUUGAUCCUCCGUACCUGAAAUUUCUAGAAGGAAGUUCUCCAGUUCCUGUAUCGCUUGUUCCCAUUCCCCGAGAGUAUUCUUACCAGCCAAUGCUCGUCCAACAGUAACGAGUGCAAGUGGCAAGCCAUUGCAUCUCUCCAUAACGCUGUAGGCAAGAUUUCGUAUAUCAGGACGAGAACUUAGAGUGUCCUCUCUGAGCAUCAGCAUGAACAAAUUCAAGGCUUCUGUCGAUGGCAAACACUCUACUUUAAACCUCCUUUGAGCUUCCAUCUCACUGCAGAUUUUCAAGGAUCGAGUUGUGAUUAUUACUUUGGACCUGUUUUUAGCAUCCGGAAGAGGAACUCCUAUUUCUGAGAGUUCAAUUCCUUGGCGUACGUUGUCCAACAACAGCAAAGACCUUUGUCUUUUCAUGAUAUUGAAUAUUUGUAUGGCCUUUUCAUCCUGACUUCUAUUUUGCCACAUUCUAUCAUUGAUCUGUAGCUUGUUUGCAAUCACCUCUUGAGCAGAUGUCACGCUUGCUUGAUUCGACACUGCAACCCAAAUCACUAUAUUAAAUUCGUGAGAAAAUUUGAGGAGGCAAUGGUUGUUGAUUUUCUUCAGUAGUGUUGUCUUGCCAACACCGCGUACUCCAUAUAAUCCAACAAUUCCUACUUCAUCUUCGUCAAAGCAUCUGCACACCCUCUGAGACAGAGAAUCUAAGCCCACGGUAUGCCCAAGAGGUAAUUCAUCUACAACAGGACGAAGAAACUUGGCUGCUACUCUUUCAAAAUCUCCUCUUGUUAUUAGUUCCUCCGCACGCGUGCUUUUUUCAGCCACUCUCUUUACAAGGUUGUAUUUUUGCCGGAUACUGCAACAGCUUCCCAGACAGUAUUGCUUUUCUAGUAGUAGAUCCGCUUCUUGCAGAAUUGCAUCCACUUCAUUUUUCAAGUCACCAACGUCACAAAGCCAGCCUUGCACCUCCCGUAGGGGUAUCAUCUGUUCUCGCUGUUCAAGUUCCAGUCUGCUCUUUACAUCUUCACAUUGAAAGUCCAGUCUCUGCAUUUGGCGUCUCAAGUUUUCAACAUUUUGUUUGAGAGAACGGAUAUGAGAGACACAAUUGGCCGUGCAAUCCCACAGGCUAGUGGCAAGAGUGAGGAUCGGGCUCACACAUUCCAUGCUCUCAGGGAAUCUGAAAAACCAGGACCUGAAAUUGAAGACAAUAGAAAGAGCAAUGAAGGGAAUAAGAGGUGAUGGCUGCUAGCUGUAACACGGGAAGCCAUGAAUCGUUUUCCUUUGUACAGCUGGGGCUCGAUGCACUCAAAGUCUACAACUACUGAGAAACCAAGGUUUGUUUUUUUCUUUAUUUUAUAAUUUUUAUUUUUUUCAAUUCUUAAAAUAAGUUUUUUUUUAGAGCCAUUUUGUUUUUAAUUGAGGAUUAAUUGAUUAAAAGGGAUGAAAAUAUAUCAAAUUUGUAAAACUAGCCUCUCCCAUUUUUGAACUUGAAGAGUAACCAAUUUUUGACAUAAAUGCCCUUCAACAUUUUCAUUAUUUACAUGUGUACUUUAAAAUAAAAGAUUAUUUUUGCAAGAAAAUAUGGGGGUAUUCUUGUCCAAAAUGGCUAUUCUUUUUUCUUGGGUAAAAAUGAAUGGGUGGUUAAAUUUGUAAUUUUAUAUUUCUUUUGUUCAUUUUAAUCUGUUAUCCCUUUAAUUUAUCACCUUUUGGGACAAUUUUGUUAGAAAAUUUGUACCUUUUAUCUCAAUGAAAAAGUUACUUUUCUCUUUUCCUUUUUCAACUCUAAUUUUAUUGUAAUACUUAAACCCAAAUUUUCAUAUGAAAUAAAACUAAAAUUUUGAAACGUUUGAAUAACUCUCAUUUUAAUAACAAGCACCAAGACAAAUGUAUAAGAAGUUCGAUUAUUUUAUGACAAGCCAUAAGUAUACUAGAACUUCAUUUGACCAUUAUGUGUUUGAAAAUAAAUAAUUUUGUGAUGAUUUCAUUAUUCUCCUGUUAUAUAUAGAUGACAUGUUUAUUAUUUGCUAGAAUGCGAGUAAGAUUGAGAAGUUGAAAAGGGAGUUGAGUGUCUUUUGCAAUGAAAGACUUGGGUUUAGCAAAGCAUAUACUCAACAUGAAGAUAUCUCAUGAUGAUAGGAAGAAUGAGAAACUUUGGCUAUCUCAAGAAGCUUACAUUGAGAAAGUUCCUGAAAGACUCAACAUAACACAUGCAAGUCACUUCAAGCACACAACCAAGUAGUGUCUUACAAAAGUCAUCUAUUGUUGGCAAUUUGAUGUACGUUAUGAUUUCUACAACGCUAGAUAUUGCUCAUACAAUUAGAGUUGUUAGUCAGUUUCUUUCUAAUCCUAUAAAAGAACAUUGGUUGUAAUAAAGUGGAUAUUAAGGUGUCUGAGAGGCACUUCCAGGGUGUGCUUAUACUUCGACAGUGGUGAACCUAUGUUAGAUGGGUACACAGAUCUAGACAUAACAAGAGAUAUUGAUUUCAGGAAGUCCACUUUGGGUUCCUAAUGACUUCUGUAAGGGGAUCAAUUUCUUGGCAAUCAAAGUUGCAUAAAUGUAUUGCUUUAUCCACCAUAAAAGUUGAAUAUAUUGCAAUUAUUGAAUCUUGCAAGGAAGCUUUGUGAAUAAGAAAGUUCUUAGAAGAACGAGGCCUACAACAAAAGAAGUAUGUUGUCUAUAGUGAUAGUCAAAGGGUCAUCCACCUCUCUAAGAACUCAACAUUUCACUCAAAAUCCAAGCAUAUUGAUGUGAGAUACCACUGGAUUCGUAAUGUGCUCGAAACAAAGCAACUACACCAGGAGAAAAUAGAUACUAGUGAAAACGGAUCAGGUAAGUUGACAAAAUCUUUAUCAAAGGAGAAACUUAUAGCUAGGUAGAGAGCGGACUUGGUAAAGCCCACUACAUGAGGUGGAGGGGGAGUUUGUUGGGUUGUUUGCUCCUUGUGUGGGCUAGAUGCAUAAAUGGGCUUUAACCCCAAUUGCUUCAAAAAAAAGAAAAAAAAAAAAGGAAAACAAAUUAUGAGGUAUAUAAAGCAAGAAGCACAGAGAGAGAGAGAUAGAGAGAGAAAUGGGGUUUAAAUGAAAUUGCAACAAGAUUGGGUGGUGAAACAGUGUCAGUUUCAACUCAAAUUUGAAGUGAUAAAUCCUCGUGAAGAGUUUCUCUCUUCUACCAGGCUUGAUUCUCCAUUUGAUCUCUCUAAGGUGCUUUUCCAAAAUAUCCAUUUGAUGAGAUCUACACUUUGCCAUUGGUGUAAAGUUGAAAUAUCCAUCUUUAUUAAUGAUGAAUAUUAUUGUUAAUCAUAAUAUAUUUCUUGAUAUUUGCGAGCCUUAAAUUUUAUCUACAGAGAAACUUUGUAAACCCAUUUUACUUAUCAUGCACAUCGUUUCUUCCAUUAAUGCAAGAUGUCGCUUGAAGACUGGACGGUGGCAUGGAUAAUGUUAAUAAGUUAGAACCUAGGCCAAAAUAUAGUUAUUUUAAUAUUACCCUAGAUAGGGAUACUUUUUGCUUUAAUUUUGGGAAAAAAAAUAAAUAAAGUUGCUAAAUUAGUAUUGUUAAGUAGUCAUUUGCAUAUCAUGUUGCAUACUUUUCUUGCCAUUUUCUCUCUUUUAGCAAUUGACUAAUAGAAAAUUGUAUCAGCCUUUUUCUUCCAACCUUUGAAUGAUUUUUUUUGUUAAAUUCGUUAAUUUUCACCUUUCACCUAUAGAUUAAAAACAAAUAAAUAAAUUUUUUGUAUAUUUCUCAGUAUAUGAUUUCUAUUCUUAUAAAUUUUUUAUUUUUUUAACAAAUCCUUUCAUCCACUCAACUUUGAUGAAAAGUCUCCUCUCAUAAGGGAGAAUUUCUCUUAAUGGUAAGGUUUCAGACAACUAAAAAAUGAAGUGUUUUUUUCUUAUUAAAAAGAAUUCAUUCGUUUUGAAUGUUAAUUUAAAUAUUUAAAUUCAAGUUUUGCCACAAUUAUGAAAACAAAUUAUUUAACAUUUUAAUUCGCCGACUUCUUUUCAUAUUCAAUGCCAAAUUGUUAGUUAGGUUGUCACGAGCAACCAAAUUUUAUUUGAUACGUCAGUUGUAUUGGGAAAAAGCCUAAUAGAUUAAUAUGUCUAGACACUUAUAUAAAGAAUAAUCAUAAUGAUUAAUGAUUUAAUUAAUAAUAAAUGCAAGGUGAUGCUAAAGAAAAUAUAAAAUGAACUAAGUAAUAUAAAAUGAAAGGUGAUGCUUCCAUGUACAUUGUGAUGGAAAAAUGGCGUUAAAAACAUAUACCAUUAGAAAACUUAGUUCCUAUUUGGUAACUGUUUUUUAAAACAGUUUUGAAAAAUAGUUUUUGAGAGCAUUUUUUGAAAACUAUUCUUUGAUGUUUUAUGGAACAAAAGUCUAUUUGGAAGCGUAUAAUGUUUUUAACUUAUUUUUAUAGAUUUUAACAAAAGACUAUUUGAACAAAAGUCUCUUACUUAUAAAUGAAGUGGAAUUCUCUAUUCAUAGGUUUUAACCAAUGGGAGCCAAAAGGGUUGAAAAGUAACCUUAGUCGGUCAAGCUUUGGUUCAACCGGUUGACUAGUUGUUGGACAUUAAAUAUACUACAGGUGACCAUUGGACCUCGAUUGGGCCUCGAUCAGGAAAACCUACCCCUCGAUCAAGAGAUGUCUCACCUUUGACUGAGAAUGCAUAGCAAUUGGAAGAGAAAAAAUAUUUUUUUUGCAUUCCUUGAUCGGUCCUCAAAUGAAAAGACUUAACUGGUUGAUUGGUUCCAUGACCAGUUGACUAGUCUCCAUGACCAAUUGACUAGUCUCCAUGACUAGUUGACUAGUCUCCUUGACCGAUUAACUUAUUUUGGCUUGAAAACCUUUUUUUUUUCUAUGUCUUUUACUUCUAACACUUAGACAAGGUCUUUAAAUAUAUUAAUAUGUCAAUUUUAAAACAGUUUGCCUAAGGGUCAUAUGAGAAAACUCGGGUUUUAAUAAGAAUUUAACUUUGAUGCAUAAACCAAGUUUUUAAAGAUGCAUGCAUUGGUACAAAAAUCCUAAGGAUAUCCAUGCAUUCACCUUACAUAUAAAUCCUAAGCUUGAACGGUCUUCAUAUUCUCUCAAGCAUGCAUCAUUUGAUUCCUCGAUGAGUGUCUUGUCCUUCCAAUUUGAAUUUCUUAAUGAAAACCUAAAAAAUAUCUUGAUUUUGAACCAUUAGUAUAAUAACCACGGUUUGUUAUCAUCAAAAUAUGAUUAGGAGAACACUUGGGCUAAUGUGGGCAAAUAGUGAAAAUGAGGAUGCAACUAGAAUAGUGAGACCCAAAGAAAGUAAUGACACUGAACUACCAUAAUCUAAAAUUGAACCCCCCCACUCUUCAGUAUCCAAAGACCCAUCUCUUUAGAAUAUUCCUGAGGCAGGCUCUCCUAUUACAUCUUCUCCUAAUAAUGAUUUGGGUACUUCUAUGGGUUGAAACUUAGUUUUCAAACAUAAUUGUGGCAAACCACCAAAUCAGUACUUACUAGAUUUCAGAGAAAGAAGAUCCAGAUACCCAAUUGCAAAUUAUUUAUCUACUCAAAAGCUAUCAAAACCUCUCAAGGUGAUUGCAUACAAAUUGUUCUUAUGUUAUGUUCCAAUAGGGUCCAAUUAAUAGACCCAAAAUGGGUUCAAGUAAGAAAAGAAGAAAUGAAGGUUCUAUAAAAAUAAAUAAAUAAAUAAAACAUGGACCUUUGUCCCAUUACUAAAAAGAAAACAAAUAGUAAGUGUGUAUUCUACAUCAAAUACAAGGUGGAUGGGUUUGUUGAGAUAUACAAUGCAAGGUUGAUAGCAAAAAGAUAUACAUAAACUUAUGGUGUAGAUUAUAAAGAGACCUUCUCACCUAUGAAAAAAUUGAAUAUUGUUAGAGUUUUGUUGUCUCUUGUAGAAAAUUCUAUUACAUCUGUUUGAUGUUAAAAAAAUGCAUUUCUCCAUGAUGACCUUGAGGAUGAGGUUUACAUGGAUAUUCCACUUGGAUAUAUUGCAUCGACUAAGACUAGGGUUGUAUGUAAGUUACAAAGGGCUCUAUCAUGGGUUAAAGUAAUCACCCUGCAUGUGGUUCGGUCAUUUUAGCUUGGCUCUGAAAAAGUAUGGGUUUCAACAGAGCAACUCAUAUCAUACUUUGUUUUUGAAACACCGAUUCGAAAAAUUAACACUUCUUAUAAGUUAUAAUAUAUAUAUGUAAAUGAUAUGAUUAUUACAGGAGAUAAUAUGGAAGAGAUCAUUAGACUUCAAGAGCAAUUGGAAAUUGAAUUCAAAAUGAAGAACCUUGGAGAGCUUAAGCAUUUUUUGGGAAUUAAAGUGGGAAGAUCAAAACAAAGUAUAUUUCUUUCUCAAAGGAAACAUGUACUAGACCUAUUGUUAGAAUUAGGCUAAUGAAUUGUAAGUCAAGAGAUACUCUAAUUAUUCAAAAUCACAAACUCAGAGAGCAUAAUGAUUAGGUUCUAACAAAUAAAGAAAAAUAUCAAAGGCUAGUUAGAAAGUUAAUCUACUUAUCCCAUAUUUGCCAUAUUUGCCCAAACAUUGCCUAUAAAUCAGUUCAUGCUCUAUCUGAGUGAAGAUCACAUGGAUGUAGUAGUACGGAUUCUUCACCAUUUAAAGUCCUCCUUGGGAAAAAUGACUGAUGUUCUCCAAAAAUGACAUGAAACAAUUAAUCAAAGGGUACAUGAAUGUAGAUUAAGUAGGAAGAGUUGAUGAUAGGAAGUUCACAUUGAGUUAUUUUACGUUUGAAGAAGGAAAUUUAGCCACAUAGACGAGUAAGAAGCAAAAUGUGGUAUCUUUAUCAAGUGUCGAGGCCAAGUUCAAAGGAAUGGCCAACGGUCUUAAUGAACUUCUAUGGCUUAAAAGACUGUCAAAUAAAAUUGGCAUAGCUCCUAGCUUUGAGAUGAAUUUGUUCUAUGACAACAAAAUAGAUAUUGAUAUUGCACACAACCCCAUUUAGCAUCAUCAUACUAAACACGUCAAAGUAGACUGACAUUUCAUCAAAUAGAAUCUCAAAGCUAAGAUAAUUUGUUUUCUAUUUGUGAAAUUUGAAGAUUGACUAGCAGAUAUUUUUACGAAGGUUGUUUCAAGCAAGGUGUUCAACAACUCACUUAAUAAGUUGGGCAUUAGAGAUAUCUAUACACCAACUUGAGGGGAAGUGUUAGCAAGGGUUGUCAAUAGGUUGUCAUUGAUAACUAAUUAGAAUAAUUGUAGGCUAUGAUCAGAUUGUUAUUGGAAUCUCUUCUUUCAAGGGAUGCAAAUAUAUAUAUUUUUUCCUUAGAUAACUCUUAGCCAUGGAUGCCUUUUUUCUUUCUUCUGUAUUAUAUAUGGAGAUGUAAUGGUUGCUAUGCAACAAAAAAAAAGUUGAAAUAUUCCUUUCCAAGUGGCCUUCGACAUCAUAAAAUAAUGAAAAUAAUGAACCACAAAAUAUGAAAGAAUACUAAUAGAGAAAUAUUUAACAAAAAUGAUAAAAGAAAAUAUAGGUAGAGCUAAAUUAAGUUCAAAUACGUGAAGACAUAAAGUCUAUUGCAUAUAAAUAAACCUGAAAUCUAACGCCUAAAGAUAUACAAACUAUUAGAUAAAAAUGUAUGAUUCGAGAUAAAAGAAAAAUUAUAUCAUAAGAUUUCACAUAAAAACCUUAUAUCAGCAAUAACUCAAUUAUAUGAUCAAUAGUCCCUAAAUAAUGUGAUAUAUAUGAUGUAACUAUAAUAUAUUUAUAUGGAUUUAAAACACUUGAAGUAGAUUUCCUAAAGGAUGAAAUGUCUACAAUAAUGAUUAAAAAUCUUAUAUCAUAUUCUAGAUCAAGUCAUGAAAAUUUACUUGAUCCAAUUAGAGGAUUUGUAGUUUUUAUAAUCUUGUUGAAACUCCUAUAAGGCUCAAAGGAAAGGAAAACCAAAAUUGUCUGCUUUUGAAGGUCAAGAAAUUCAAAAUUUCUUGUCAUUUUUUUUUGUCCAAGCCCUAACUAAAAUCGCUAAAGGGGCUAUUCAAACUUGCCUAAAAUAAGGCUGAGUUGAACUCUCACAAGUUGCACCCAUAAUCGCUAUUAUGGAAUUUUCAAGUAAGUGUAUUCAAAAGAUAAGUUUCUUUUUACAUUUAUGAUAAUUAUACAUGGAAGUUAUAUAUUACUAUUUUUUAUGUUUUAAAAAAUAAAAAGAAAGUGUAUUCAAGCAAGCAUUAAUUUUUUUCUUUAGUAUUAAAGACAUGAAUAUGAUAAUUAUACAUGGAAGUUAUAUAUUACUAUUUUUUAUGUUUUAAAAAAUCAAAAGAAAGUGUAUUCAAGCAAGCAUUAAUUUUUUUCUUUAGUAUUAAAGACAUGAAAACAAAAUUUAGAUCACUAUUAAAUGAUAUAAAUAUGACAUAUUAUUUGAUAUAUCAUGCACAUCUUUUUUGCAAUUGAUGAAAGAUGCUCCUCAAAGCCAUGACAUCGGAGUGGAUCAUGUUAAUCAUUUUGAAAUUAGGGCAAUAAAUGUUUACUUUAAUAUUGCCUUAGCCAGGGAUACAUUUUUGUUUAAUUUUUGGCAAAAAAAAAAAAAAAAAAAAGUUGUUAAACUAUCAUUGUCAAGUGGUCCUUUGCACCAAUGUUUUAAAAACCGGACCGAACCGGCCGGUCCAAUCGGUUCAACCAUCGACCGGUUGCAAUUCCGGUUCGAUUUACCCUAUUAGACCAUUUUAACAUUGAACCAGUCACGGACCGCCUAAACCAGCGGUCGGACUGAUGAACCAGUAAAACCAAACUAUUCCAAACGAACUGCAAUGUCCAAAUUGACCCAUCAUUUUGCAAGCAUGAGGACCCCAUUGUAUAAAAACUGUAGGCAAAAAUCCAUACUAGGCCAUGUCUUAAUAUGACAAAGCCCACACCCAAACCAUUUAAGUGAGCUGAGCCUUGAGCCCACAAGAUGUGGCUUUCAAUAAGGAUACCUUUUAUAGGCAUCCUUUGCACCCUUAUAUCUCUCACAAUCCGAUGUGGGAUUGCAAACUAAUAUGAUAAUAUCAAUGAAAAAAAAUUAACAAAUGCAACCAAGAGGAUUUGAAGUUGGACCUUAGGUUUUGUGAGUAAACUAGGACACCACUCGGCUACAACCGAUUUGUUAUUUGAUAUGCCAAACAAAACAAUAUAUAUUGGAUUUAAUUUUUUUUUAUAAUAUUGAAUAAAAAUAAUAUAAUAUUUUUAAAAAUUAUAAAAUUAGUUAAAAUUUUUAUUUUUAAUAUAUUCACAUUUAAAUAUUGUACACAUUUCAUUUAAUAUGAUUUAAUUUGAUAAUAUCAAAUAUAUAAAAUAAUAUUAUUGAUUUUUAAUUUAUUCAUAUAUAUUUAAAAAAAUUUAUAAUUAUUUUUAAUUUUAAUAAUAUAUAAAUUACAUAUUUAUGACGUCACCGGUUUGACCGCGGUUCGAUCACCAGUUCGAUCGGUGAACCGUGAACCGGUAACUUUUUCGAUUCAAUGAUCGGUCCGAUUAUGAAAACAUUGCUUUGCACAUUGUUUCAUUAUUUUCCUUUUUUUUUUUUUUUUAAAGCAAUUGACCAAUAUAAAACACAAGGUGAUCAAUUGUUAUGGAGUUGAAACUCAGUGUGGACGGUAAAGAAAAAUAUAAAAGCAAUUGGCAGAGCUGGCUUAUGCUUGGGAGGGGCACAUGCCCCAUUCCCUUGACCUAACGUACAAUUGGAAAAUUUUGUUGCCAUUGGGCCAUAUAUCCUAGUUUUAUUAUUUGCUGUCCCCAUAGAGAAGAAAGGUAAGACGAUGAGAAAAAAAAAAUAGAAAUCAAAUAUAAAAAAAUAUAAGUAAAAUUAAAUAUUGAAUUUUGUAACCUUUUCGGCUACAGUUCUUUCUCAAGUACCAUAUUUAUUUUUAUAAAUAGAAAACAAAAUACUAGAAUAUACACCUUUUUUUUACAUAUACAUUACUUUAUGUUUUUUUCUUUUCUCUUUAACCAUUUGUGUAUUGGUUUAAUCUGCCCUCUACUUCAAUUAUGGUUUUAUGCCACGAAGUUGGUGGACGAAAGAGGAUAUUUCUUGUCAAAGGUGUACUUGCUAGACCCAACAUAAGAAAAAAAAAAAAAUCCUCAUGGAAACUUUGUUGCUCCGAAUAUUUAACUAAUUAUUUUUAAUUAUAAAAUCAAAAUUUGUAGCAAGAUAUAAAAAAUAAUUCAUUGCACAAUGUUACUUGUAAUCACAAAAAAUAAUUUUUAGUAAAAUCAUUAUAUAUUUAGUAGUUUAUUCCCUUCUAUAAAAUACUUAAAGCUUAUAAAUCAAAAUGGACUAUAUUAAUCGGUUUGAAAACUAGGGCAACAAGUGGUUGAUUUAUUAUUGUGUCAGGUGAGGUUGCAUUUGUUAAGUUAUUAAAAAAAAAUGUUAUUAUAUUUUAUCAUCUUCACUUGGUCUGCCAUUUUCAAUAUUUUAACAAAUAUUUAAUUGAAAAUGGAGUGAAUGAUUCUAUUCUCCCAUGAAUCACAUGGUCGCACCAUUUUCAAUAAAGAAUCCCAUGGUCACACAUUUUCAAUAUUUUUAAAAAUAUUUAAUUAAAAAUAGUGUCAAUGAUUCUAUUCUCCCAAUGAAGGUUUUGGUUGUGAAGGAUUCAUUUAAUAACAUCUAUUUCUCGGCUCUAGAAGGACAACAAUAUUUAUAAAAUAUUAUUUGAAAAAUGAAUUUUCAAAAAUAUUGAGCUACAUCAUAGGGAACUUUUAUAAAUUAAUUUUAUUUAUCUAAUUUAUUUUAUUAAAACUUUACAUAAAUCCCUAUCAUUGGAAAAGUCUUUCUCUUUCUCUUUAUAUAUAUAUAUAUAUAAAUUAUUCAUUUUCUUUAUUCGGAUUAGGACUAAGAAGACUGGUUGGGACAUCAAAUAUUCAUCUUGUUCGGUCUUUGGAUGCUUAUAUAACUAUGGAAACUUGUUGAAGUAACUGAUUCCUGAAAAUUAUGGGGUAUGAAAGACAAAGAAAUUGUUGGAGUUUCCAUUUCAGUCUAGUAUAGUACCAAUACAAACAUGCAUGAUGUUAAGAAAAGAUUUUUUAUAGGAAGGUUAUAUCAUGUACAUAAAUUAAUUUUUUUUAAAAAAAAGCAAAUUAAUCAUUAGUUUUUGAGGAUUCAAAGAAUGAUGGAUAAAAUGAGAAAAGACAAUCUAGAGUUUCUUCUUAUGGCAACUUAGAAGCAAAAACACACCAAAAAGAGUUUAAGUAGAUUUACAAACAAAGAAAAUAAAAGACUAAAAAGAAUAAUUUACCUUUUUAGACUAAAAAUAUAAAUAACCCUAACAUCCCUAUCAGAUAUACUCCUAAAAAGUUAUAAUAUAAUAAAUAAAUAUAAGUAACUCUAAUAACUCUUACAUCCCUAUUAGAGUUUGACAAAUGCUUCAAAAACAUUAUAAAUACUCAAAAAAUUAGAAUGAUAUUUCAUAAGAUAAAUCCAACAAUAACGAGUAUCAUCAUUAAUGAAAUAAACAUAAUAUUUGGACCCUUCUUUUGUGAAAAUUGAAGAAUGUCUCCAUAUAUCAUAAUGAAAAAAUAAAAUGAUGCUGAAUAAGAUGAGUCAAUUCUAUUAAAAGACAAGACAAUGAAAAAGAAUAUAUAGAAAUCGAUCAAAUAUAAAAAAAAAAUAUGUAUAAGUAAAUUUUAAGUUUUGUAACCUUUUUUCCUUCAACCAUUUUCUCAAUUACAACAUCUAUAGAAUAUACACCAUUUUUUGACAUAUACCCUGCUUUACUUUUUUUUUUUUUUGGGGACUUUUACCAUUUAUGUAUUGAUUUUCGUUAAUAAUCUAAGCAAUUAUGGUUUUCGGCCAUGAAGUAAAUGCUGGAAGAAAGAGGAUAUAUAUUUCAUGUUAAAGGUGUAUUUGCCACAAAAAAAAAAAAAUCCUUAGUGGGAACUUUGUUGUUCCGAAUAUGUAACUAAUUGUUUUUAAUCAUAAAAUUAAAAUUUGUAGCAAGACAAAACAAAAUAAUUCAUAGAAAACUGUUAUUUGUAAGCAAAAAAAAAAAAAAGUAAAAUCGGGCUUAAAGUAGAAUAAAAGUUGGUGAUGAAAGGUUAUCUUUGUGAGAUUCAAAAGAAUUAUCAUAGGUAGGGAUGGUGAUGAGACGAGUUUUUAGGUACUCAUCCUAUCCCGUCCUUAAUAAUGGGUUUGGAAAAAAUGUAAACAAGUUUCCCACCCCACCUUGAUUAUAUAUUGCUAGGAACUUCAGGUAACCCCAUUCCUUAGCCUUAAAUCAUGUAAGGUGUAUGUAACUAUCUUUAUGGCUCUAUAGAUCUAACACAACCGAAAAACAUGGCAACAAAAACCUUUAUUAUAGUAAAUCUAGAGAGAAUAUAGUCAUACUGAUAUGGAUGUUCCUAGAUAAAUUUCAAGCCAAUUGAGAUGCCGAAGAAGAAUUUGAAACCGUAGAAAGCACUAUAAGGUUUCUUCCACCCAAUCUCUCCUUACAUAGAUCUAGGCACAAGAAAAUGGUGGUUUUUUCUUUCUAAAGGAUGACUAAGAGUUUUCUGUAGAGAUUCUUUAGAAGAAGAUAGACAAAAGUCUAAGGCCCUAAACCUUAAGGGAGUAUUUAUACGCUUUCUUGUGGGCUUAAGUGACUUGAGUUUGGGUCACUUAAUUCAACAUACCUAGGUCCUAAUUAAUUAAUUAGCCCUAAUGACGUCCAAUUAAUUAAUCAUCUCAUACCAAAAAGAUCAUUCAUAAGUUCUAGUGCAACCUUGUACUUUUACCAAAACACCCUUAUGCAAUCUUAUGAACUAGAAACCUAAAAUCCUUAAAACAAACAUGCCACCAUAAACUAGGAGCUCAAGUGGGAACCACUAGAACACAUAAGAAAAUAUUAUCAGGAUAGAGUCCUUAAAAGCAUGACAUGAUGUAAUAAACAUGUUGACUUUUAUUAUUUAUUUAAUUAAGUUUCAGUUCACUUUUAUUUAUCCUAUUCCCAUGCAUUUUAUCUUGUAAGCACUCUCACAUGCAUCUUUUACAUUAUAUGUGACUUUAGCGUAUUAGGAGUUAUAUGGAAGAUUCAAGUCAUAAGUUCCUUAUAAAUAGAUGACUUGGUUACAGCUAGUUCAUAGGGUUAGGCAAUUCAUUAGAGGUUGUAAUGCACUAUCUCCUAAUUUUGGAGGGAUUAUUGGUCUUGGCUAUUGGAUGAGUUUCCUAUAGUGAGUGCACUAGCGUGUAUGGUUACACAUUGGAUAAAAUUUUGACAUACAUACUAGUACACUCACCAUGAAAAUCUCAUUUCAAUAGUUAAAAUAAAUUAUCCAUUCAAUUAGGAGGUGAUGCACUAUAAUCUCUCUUGGAUUGCCUGAUCCCAUGCCUCGGGAGAAUUCUUAUCAGCCAUGGCUCGUCCAACAGUAACAAGGGCAAGUGGCAAGCCUUUGCAGCGUUCUGCCACCUUUUCAGAAAGAUGUGGUAUGUCAAAAUGAGAAUUUAGAGUGUUCUCUCCGACUUUCUCCAUGAACAAAGCCAAGGCUUCUCCUCGUGCCAAAAACUCUACUCUAAACUGUCUUUGCAAUGGAACGCCCAUUUCAGUACAUAUUUUCUGACUUCAAGUUGUGAUUAUUACUUUGGAUUGGUUUCGAAUAAUUGGAAGACAAAAUCCUAUUUGUGAGAGAUCAAGUCUUUGCCAUACAUCAUCUAAAAGUAGGACAAAUUAUUUUGUUUCCAUGAUGUCGAAUAUUUUUUUAGCUCUUUCCUCUAUUCCACCUUGCCACAUGUUAUCCAAGAUCUCUAAUUGAUUUCGAAUCACCUCUUGAGCAGCUCUCACACUUUCUUGCUAGGACACGGCAACCCAAAUCACUAUAUCGAAUUGGCUAUUUGUUUUGAGGAACUCAUUGUUGAUUUUCUUCAUUAGUGUUGUUUUUCCAAUGCCUUUUUUUCCACUUGAAAAUGCGAAUCUCAAUAAUGGACUACACCUAAAAGGGGGGUGAAUAGGUGUUGUAGAACAAUUUCAAAAAUCUCCCAAGAAAGAUUACCUAACCUUAGACUUUCUCAAUGUUAAGAACUUUAUUUUCCAACAACUAUUCAACAAAGCAUAACAUCCACAAGCAAGAAUGUAUGCAACAACCCUCUCCCAACAAUUUAUAAAUGCAAACUACAUGCAAAUGCUUCAAAAAUCCUAAAAAAAUAAAAUAAAAAAUCAAAAGAACAAUUAUCUCUUCAACUCACAUCAAUUCACUUCAUGAUAUCAUUGACCAAAAUGAGUAGAAAAAUUAUUAAGGAUAUUCCAUGGAUCAUCACACUUAUAUCACCUCAUAUUUCUUCCAUUCAACAUAUAUACCCAAGUAAUCAAGGAUAUCAAAAACAAAAAUUAAAUCAAAGUGUAGAGUAAGAGAAAUAGACAAUUAACACCGGAUUUUAAAGUGGAAAACCUCCAAAGAGAUAAAAAACCACGGGCCUACCAUUGAUUGAAAAACUCCACUAUGAAGAAUAAAGACCGAGUACAAGGUUUUACCUAGCUCAAGCUAACCAAUCCUUCCCAGACCACUUAACUAGUACCUUCACUUUCAGCUUGUCACCUUCAUAUCCCGGAGCACACUUGGAGUCCGCACCAAGUUCAAUCUCAGCUUCUUCUUGAAUCCACACAAGAAGAAAAUGGGUUUUUGCACAAACCCAAAUAGAAUGAGAGAUUGAGAUAUGAAAGAAGGAAUGAAUCAACCCAUUUAUUGCUCAAGAAAAUCCAUUAAAAACUUGUUUGGAAAACAUUAAAAGAAGUGGAUUUUCUUUACAAUCAAAAACCCCAAAUUAGGAAAACAAGAUAAGAAAAUGAAGAACACAUGGAGUGGCUGCUCUCUUCACGUUUUCUGCAGUUCCUCCCCAGAAAAAUGAGAGAAGAUUGCUUUUUAAAGAGUAAAGAGAAGCCUUUAAUCUAAUGGCUGAGAUUUGAUCUAAAAAAAUUAGUUGGAUCGAUCCACUCCUGCACCUAGAUCAAUCCAGAAACAGGGGAAUAAAAAUCUUACACAAAAAACCAUUUCUCCCAACUUUCUAACACAUUUAAAGAUGAAAAACCAGGUUGAUUCACAUUCAAUCACCACACACUCGACUACAUACCUCAGCCUCUUAGCAAAGUCUUAGUCUUCAAAGUCAAGUGGUCCGAAGAGGAAUUGGAAAGUCGAGUUAGGGGACACUUAGGAAUUUUGUUCGGAAUUGCCAACCUAGCUAAACACUCACAAUCUCCCUCUUCGGCAAUUCUGGGACAAAACCCUUUACAACACAAAUGAGUACAAGUAAGUAAGCCCCACCCAACUCUCAUACAAGGCCAUUCACUCACUCACUCAAAACCACAACUUAGGUACUACAAAACUUGCAAUUGAAGCUCACAAACAAAACAAUUAGAAGCACCUGUGUAAAGCAACUGAAUAUACAUAAUAUAUCAACAAGUAUAUCCAAAAAGUUUAAUGUAUAUUCAAAUCCAAAUGAGACAAGAUCACAUGUCAACAUAUAUUUCAAAAUAUCCAAUAUCCAAAAUAAUCAUCAACAUGUGGAUAUUCAAUCAUCAAAAUAAUAAUUGCAAUGUUUCUUCCUCUUUUUGUCCUAGAAAGAGACAAAGGGCCACAAUUUCACCAUUUCUAUCCCAAAAAAAUAAAUAAACGGAUGACAAUUCAAUAGUAAUUCUAUCUCACAUCCAAAUCAACAAAAUGUCAAAUACCCAAAAAUCAUGUAUUCACAUAUCACAAGUAUCCAUAUCAACAUCCUAAAAAAAUAUAGGAUACAAGAAUCUUCCUUUAACUUCCAUCAUAAAAUAUACGAAACUCCCCAUAAAUCUCCUCACAUGGUUUCAUUUAAAAACUUCCAAAAAAUGCUUUAUCACCAUGAAAAUAGAUUCUAAGCAUGAAAAUGUAUAGAGACCACUCACAAUGAGCAAACAAAGCUUAAGAUUAACAUUGCUGAUUCAUGCCCAGUCGGUGUAUCAGCUGAUUCAUGUCCAGCUGGUGCUCCUUGGUUGAGGUAGUAAUCAACAAAAUUUAUAACCUAUUACACCAUGAACUAGGGUAGCAAAGACAAAGCUACUAUAGCAUAGUGGCUCUAGGAUCGUUCAUUGGGAAGGGUUUUCAACUCACAACUGAUACCAAUUCAAAGCUGAGUUGGUGCUUUUUCAUCUCAAGGUUAGCUUUAAAAGAAAACAUAAAGUUGUUUGAGUGAAAAGGGUUUGGUCUUAAACUAACCAAAAAGAAAGUAAUGGAAAUUACUUAUGAAGAAAAACAUUCCUUGGAGGUUUAGGUUCACAGGGGAGGUUACUUAUGCAAAAACAGAGCUCCGGUCAUUUGGUUCAUUUCCUCGCAUUAGAGAAUUAACCUAUAGUCAAUUCUCUAACCGGUGAUGUACAGAUAUAACCUUUAAAUGGAUUUCAACUCUAAUUCUCUCUCACUGAUGCAACUUGCAAUGGCUCGUACCUCUCACCUAGCAUUUGUCAUUCAAGGUGAUCUUUAACUUUGGACUUCUCUUCUAAAGCUCGCAAGAGAUAACUAAUGGAUGUUUCCUUGGAGCCCAAAAGCUUACCUAGUGUUGUCAAUUCUAGAAAAUCCUACCUCCAAGUCACUUCCCAAAAGCUCGCAAGAGAUAAACAAGUGCAUCUCCAUGGACGGAGAUCACGUGCCUUACCAAAUGUUGGCUCAAGUGACUUGAAGGUGUUUUAAGUUAACUAAAAACAUAGAAAUCAUUAAAGGAUCACACUUUCUCUUCAUUCAUGACUGAAACCACAAAGCUACUAAUUCUUGCACUUGGAACCUUUCCCUACAACCUUAACUCCAAGGAACUAAAAGUCUAGUCACUCAUUCUCUGAGGAAACUUCCUCAGAGCUUGUUUGGCUAGUAAGAAAACUAACGAGAAAACAAAUAUAUGAAGGACAAACAGAGCAAGUGCUCUGGAAAUAUAUUUCUUUCUUCCCUUGAUUACAUAAUUGAUUGAUUCCCUUGUAAAGAAAAUUACAAACUAUAUAUAUAUGAGGUUAUUCACCCUUUUUACUUACUUAAAGACUAAGGAAUCCUAUGAUAAGUGGAUUACAAGGAGAGUUUGGGGAUUUAGACAACAAAUAUCUAAAGCAAAAUAUCCCAAAAUAUCUCAAAAUGUCAGUCGGAAAUAUCAGGAAGCUUUAGGAGAACUCUGCAGCUGUGCAUGUCAGACUGGGUAGGCGCUACUAGAGGAUCCGAAUAUAUCUGACCGGAGAAGUUGAAACGUCCUCCUCUCCCAUCCGGAUGUGAGAUAUCCGGAUGUAAAAUGUCGGCGUACGAAAUUCUGGAUAUGAAAUGUCGGCGCACGGAAUUUUCGGAUAUGAAAUGCCCUACGCCGCCAGGCUAUCCUGCUCUCGUGAACAUCACACUCCGGAUGAUAACAUAUCCUAUCCGGAUAUGGUGUCUAGAUGGAAAACAUUGACUAAAGUGAGCAAGCCUUCCUACAGCCCACGUUCCGCCGCUCUCCAAUGGUGUGUCCGGACGCCCUGUCUGGACAUCUUUUGCCAUGGAUUCCAAAGAACUUUCCUCAAUCUUGUAUUGCUUUGAUGAUCAAAAAGCUAUCAAAACACCAAAACUUAACACAAUUUGAUUAGAAUUGAUUGCCAAGGUCCUUAAUAUGUUAAUUGGGUUAAAAGGUGAUAACUACUACUCAAAAGUGUUUAAAAGAGUUAUUUACAAGCUACGAAAUAGCACUUUUUGAGUAGUAAUCAAUUGCUAGAAACCAAGAACAAUCCAAGUAAAAAAUGAAACUCCAAAUAAAUAAAUAAAAACUCUUAUGAAAGGAUUCCACAAAAAGAAAGCAUCUAGAUUAAGCUAAUGGUGGAGAGAAAAAUGGACAAACCGAACACCCAAGGUUCCCGAAGAAGAUAGCUUAAGCUAAGAAACCCGCAAAUGAGCCUCUCCAAAAAAAAUGACUCCAAUUAAACAUUGAUGUAGAGAUUUCCGACAUUGAAAAGAAUGAUGAUAGAGGAGCACUUCAUCAGAAAUGAAUUUCAGCAACCAUGGCAGUGGAAGCUUGAGCAAUGAAGAAGAGAAUAAGAAGAAGAUGAAGCCUUUUUUUGAAAGAUUUUGAAAUUAGGGCUCAAUUGAGAAUGGAAGAGGAGGGUUUUUAAAGAUUGGGGAUUUUGAUUUUUUUUUUUUUACACGGAAUGACAAUUUUACCCCUCAUAUCCCCUUUAAAAAAACUCACAAAACCAAGGGCAAAACAUGAAUUUUCUUCACUAAGAGAUAAGUGGUAUCGAUCUUGGUGGAUCGAUCCAGGUUUCUUUCAAGGGCUCUUGGUCAGAAGACUGUGCACACAGUGGAUCGAUCCACAAAUUCAGUAGAUCGAUCGACACCCUACUGAAAAAUGACUUAGACAAAAAAACUAACGAUAAGACAUAAAAAAAACAACACACUAACAAACUUUCCAAAAAUUUAAAAUUUUGAUUCACCAAAGCUAAGAUACAAUAGAAUGACAUACUUAUUUUUCAAUCAAGGAGUUAGAAUUGAUUCAUAUUGAACAAGAAUUCUACCAAGAGCUUAACUUUAGACAAAAUUAAUAAACAUAAAGAUUGAAGAACCUUCCACAUUUAUCAAAUGAAUAGGUAAAAAACAAAUGAUUAUCAACACUCUAAUAAGGAAGAUUAAGCUCAAAGAAGACUUACUCAUGACGCCAUAAAAUAGUAAGAAUGUUAAUUUCUUUCCUCUUAUAAACCUAUAUCCACCCUGCAUAAAGCAAAAAAACGUUUUUAAGACACACUUCCUUCAUAGAGAAAUUCAAGAUAAUGUUCCAAGAAGUCAAUUUGCACCUCUCUUGGCUAGAUUUUUUAUUAACACGACCUAUUCACAUCCCAAAAAAUUCAUACAUCAUUUGUUUUUCACAUUGAGCAUUGAAAUGAUUACACAAACAUGAGCUUAACCCUUAUGAUCAAUUUUUUAUUUUUUUUAUUUUUUAUUUUUUUACUUAAGGAUCACUAAGGUGACCUUUACAACAUAACAACAUAAGAGAUGUCCCACUCUUGCAAUGAAGGCUUUUUAACUCUUGAAAUAUUGCCAAGAAGUCAUAACCAUUCUGGGAAGCUUAAUAUUUCUCUUUUUCUUUUUUUUUUCCCUUUUUUUUUUUUUUUUUAAUUUCAAAGAGAGGGCAAACAAUCAAGGAAGAAUAAUCUUAAACACUCAAGGAUAUUCCAAGUGACUUUACUCACUUUUUAAUGCUCAUUAGAUAAACAUAAGUUUGCAUUUAGACUAUAAAGAACAUUACUCACCAUUUAUGCAAUCACAAGGUUCAACCAUGAGCUGUUACUCACUUAAAAGAAAUGAAGCUAACCUUUUGUGGUUUAUCUAAUCAAAUCAAAAUAGCAAGGAUUCAAUAUCAUGUUUAUCAAUCAAGCCAUGGAGAUAAAAACAUCUUGAAGCUUUUAAGAUCAUUAUGAGUCAAUUUAACUUUUAAACAAAAGUGUAAGCAUGUCACUCUCAUGAACUUAGCAAAUGUUGAAAAUUUAUGAAAAAUGAAGAAAAGAUUGAACCAAAAACAAAAAGAACACCACCACAAGGACACUUUGGAACUUGAGAAGACACCUAGGACUCAAAGAUAUGUAGCAAGAAAGUCCUAGACAAGUUCUGGAGGCAGUUAACAGAGAGUAUAUAAACCUAUGGGGCUCCUAAGUGAUUCAAACCUAGAAACAUCCAAAGGUUUAGUAACAUUGUUAGCAAUUUGACCCUCUAUAGGGAAAAACUCUAGUGAAAUAACCUUGUCUUCUACCAAGUCUUGAAUGAAGUGAUGCUUCAUGUCCACAUGUUUUGAUCUAGAAUGAAGAACAUGGUUCUUUAACCUAUCAACAACAUUGGCAUCAUCAAAUUUUCUCCCCCUGUCAAUCCUAACUUUUACAAUGGGAUGUUCUUUUUCAUUUCGCAACAAUCUAUGUUGCAACAAGUGACUAACACAUGCAAUUUUAAAACUUCCACACACAAGAGAAGAUGAUGAAGGAGAUUUUUGACUAACAACAUAACAAUUAUCACAAGUUCUCAAGCCAAUCAUCACACAUGCAUCAUUCAAGUCAAAACACCUUGCAAAGAUUUUGUGAAAAAUGGAUAUUGAACUCAUUCUCACACAUUUGGCUUAUGCUAAUUAAGUUAGCCUUUAAACCUUCAACAUAUAAGACCUCUUCAAGAUUGGGAAUGUUGGGGGCACAAAUGGUACCUUUGCCUUUCACUCUAGCCACAUUUCCAUCUCCAAAUGUCACAUUUUCUCCAUCAAAUUCAGUGAAUGAAGUGAACAAAGAUUUAUUUCCAGUCAUAUGAUGUGAACAUCCACUAUCAAGAUACCAUAAGUGUGUCUCACUAGCUCUAAAUGUGGUAUGGACAACAAAACACUUCAACUCAUUCUUUUUCAACCAAACUUGUUUAACAUUUGAGACUUUUGUCUUUUCAUUCAAACUGCUUCCUUUCAACUCACCAUUAUGAGAAAUAUUUGAGCUCUUCUUGGUCACUCUUUUAUUCUCAUUCAACAACCUAUUCUUCAAAGCAUGACAUUCAUUCAUUAGGUUGGUCAACUUCCUUUGAAAAUUAUCAAACAAUCUUGCAUAACAUCUAUCAAAAGUGUGUCCCAUUUUUCCACAAUGAUUGCAAUGAAACUUGAUUUGAGACUAAGUUUUCCUAGGAAAUCUUUUUUCACAAGGCUUAACAAAAACUGUUUUACUACUACUUGGAGUAGCAUUUCCACCAAGAAAUUCUAAGCCUCUUUUAUCAAAAGAUUUACGCCCUAAAUUAAUAAACUCAUUAAGUCUUUUAGAGCUAGGAUGUAACUCUUCCUUCCUAAGACUUAACUCAUCCUUGAACAUUUGAUUUUCACUUUUCAAUACAUCACAUUUUUCCUUCACUUCCAAAUGUUCAUUUUCAAGAAAUGCAAUUUUAUCAAGCAAGGCAUUCUUUUCUCUCUUUAAAACAUCAACCUCAUUGGUUAAAAUCUUCUUAGAAGCCUUCCACUUGACUUGUUCUUGUUUAAGGCUCAAACACUCCUUAUACAAAGCCUCUUAUGUUGUAUCAAAACUCAUGUCAUCAUCAUUGGAGUCACUUGACUCACUUAACUCACUUGAAACUUCUUUUAAAAGAGGUUCCUCAUUGACACUUGCAGCAAAGGCUAUGAAGUUAGUGCAUUCCUCACUUCCAUUGGAUUCUUUUUCACUUGAUUGAUUAGACUCGGAGUCACUCCAAGUAACUUGCAUGACCUUCUUAUCCUUUUUCUUUGAUGGACAUUUACAUGCAUAGUGACAAUUUCCCCCACAUUUAAAGCACUAAAUUUUCAACUCCUUUUUCACACCUUUCUCUAUCUUUUUCUCUUUUCCAAUUGAGUUCCUCCAUUUUUUACCAUCAUUUGAUUCGUUCUUGGCUUUUCUGAAUUUCAUGUACUUCUUGAAUUUUUUAGCAAACUUAGUAAGCUCACCCUCCGACAUUUUCUCAUCAUCUUCACUUUCGGAACUUAGGAACUCUUCUUUAAUAGCUUUUAAAGCCAUUCCCUUAGCUUUCCUAGGUGAUACAAGAGUCAUCUCAAAGGUUUGGAGGGAACCUACAAGUUCAUCUAUCUUCAAGGAAUCCACAUCCUUAGAUUCUUCAAUGGCGGUGACCUUAGCUCUAAAUCUCUCUGGAAGAGAUCUUAAAAUUUUUCUAACCACUUUAGAAUUAGGGAUAGGCUCACCUGGAUUAAAGCUAGAAUUCACAAUGUCCAUCAAUUUUGCAUGAAAUUCUCCAAAAGUUUCAUGAUCAUCCAUCCUAAUGGUCUCAAACCUAGAUGUCAACAUUUGAAGCUUGGACACUUUCACGACAUUAGUUCCUUCAUGAGUCACUUAGAGGAUAUCCCAAGCCUCUUUAGCCGAAGUACAUGUAGCAAUCCUACGGAAUUCAUCCGUACUAAUGGCAUUGAAGAUGGAGUACAUGGCUUUAGCAUUAUUCUCACUUGCUUCAUUUUCACUUCUAUCCCAUUCUAAUUUAGUCUUGAGAACAUUAGUUGGUCUACCUUCUCUAUCCAACACCUUAGGCAGAAACUAACCAAAUUCAACGGCGCUCCAAACUUUUUCACUUUGCAUUUUGAGAAAAUAUUGUUUUUUCACUUUCCAAUGAGAAUAAUUUUCGUAGGUUAAAAAUGAUGGUCUCCCAAUGGAAGCUCCCUCUUGAUGAGGUUCCAUGAUUGAGAUUCAAGGACUGAAAAUGAUUUUUUUCUUUAAAAACCUGCUCUGAUAUCAAUUGAAAAAGUGAAUCUCAAUAAUGGACUACAACUAGAGGGGGAGGGGGAGGGGGUGAAUAGGUGUUGUAGAACAAUUUCAAAAACCUCCCAACAAAGAUUACUUGACCUUAGACUUUCUCAAUGUCAAGAACUUUCUCUUCCAACAACUAUUCAAUAAAGCAAAACAUCCACAAGCAAGAAUGUAUGCAACAACACUCUCCCAACAAUUUAUAAAUGCAAACCACAUGCAAAUGCUUCAACAAUCCUAAAAAAUAAAUCAAAAGAACAAUUAUCCCUUCAACUCACAUCAAUUCACUUCAUGAUAUCAUUAGCCAAAAUGAGCAGAAAAAUUAUUAAGGAUAUUCCAUGGAUCAUCACACUUAUAUCACCUCAUAUUUCUUCCAUUCAACAUAUAUGCCCAAGUAAUCAAUGAUAUCAAAAACAGAAAUUAAAUCAAAGUGUAGAGUAAGAGAAAGAGACAAUUAACACCGAAUUUUAACAUGGAAAACCUCCGAAGAGAUCAAAGACCAUGGGCCUACCACCGAUUGAAAAACUCCACUAUGAAGAAUAAAAACCGAGUACAAGGUUUUACCUAACUCAAGCCAACCAAUCCUUCCCGGACCACUUGACUAGUAUCUUCACUUUCAGCUUGUCACCUUCAUAUUCUAGAGCACACUUGGAGUUCGCACCAAGUUCAAUCUCGACCUCUUCUUGAAUCCACACAAGAAGAAAAUGGGUUUUUGCACAAACCCAAAUAGAAUGAGAGAUUGAGAUAUGAAUGAAGGAAUGAAUCAACCCAUUUAUUGCUCAAGAAAAUCCAUUAAAAACUUAUUUGGAAAACAUUAAAAGAAGUGGAUUUUCUUUGCAAUAAAAAACCCCAAAUUAGGAAAACAAGAUAAGAAAAUGAAGAACACAUGGAGUGACUGCUCUCUUCACGUUUUCUGCAGUUCCUCCCCAGAAAAAUGAGAGAAGAUUGCUUUUUAAAGAGUAAAGAGAAUCCCUUAAUCUAAUGGCUAAGAUUUGAUCUAAAAAAAUUAGUUGGAUCGAUCCACCCCUACACCUAGAUAGAUCCAGGAACAGGGGAAUAAAAAUCUUGUACCAAAAACCAUUUUUCCCAACUUUCUAACACAUUUAAAGAUUAAAAACUAAGUUGAUUCACAUUCAAUCACCACACACUCGACUACAUACCCUAGCCUCUUAGCAAAGUCUUAGUCUUCAAAGUCAAGUGGUCCGAAGAGGAAUUGGAAAGUCGAGUUAGGGGACGCUUAGGAAUUUUGUUCAGAAUUGCCAACCUAGCUAAACACUCACACCACAUAAUCCAAUAAUUCUUACUUGAUGUUCAGUGGUGAGGCACCUGCACACUCUUUUAUACAACCGAUCUAUGCCCACGAUAUUCCCAAGAAGCAUUUCAUCUACCACAUUGCCUAGUAUAGUAUAAAAAUGUUCUAUAAGUUCAUCAUUUCUAAUCACAUAUUCCUCGGGAAAUAUAAAUCAAUAUAUGAAACAAGGUUUGGUGAUAGAUAAUAACUUAACUUCAAAACAUGGAACAAUUGAUCCUCCGUACCUGAAAUUUCUAGUAGGAAGUUCUCCAGUUCCUGUAUCGCUUGUUCCCAUUCCCCGAGAGUAUUCUUGUCAGCUAAUGCUCGUCCAACAGUAACGAGUGCAAGUGGCAAGCCUUUGCAUCUCUCCAUAACGUUGUGGGCAAGAUUUCGUAUAUCAGGUUUAUAACUUAGAGUGUCCUCUCCGACCAUCAGCAUGAACAAAUUCGAAGCUUCUCUCGAUGGCAAACACUUUACUUGAAACCUCCCUUGAGCUUCCAUCUCAUUGCAGAUUUUCAAGGAUCAAGUUGUGAUUAUUACUUUGGACCUGUUUUUAGCAUCCGGAAGAGGAACUCCUAUUUCUAAGAGAUCAAGUCGUUGGCAUACAUUGUCUAACAAUAGCACAAACCUUUUUGUUUUCAUGGUAUUGAAUAUUUCUAUGGCCUUUUCAUCCUGACUUCUAUUUUGCCACAUUCUACUACUGAUCUGUAAUUUGUUUCCAAUCACCUCUUGAACAUCUGUCACGCUUGCUUGAUUGGACACUGCAACCCAAAUCACGUGAUCAAAAUCGCAAGAUAAUUUGAGGAAAUCGUUGUUGAUUUUCUUCAUUAGUGUUGUCUUGCCAUGUGAUGUCCCACAUUGGAUAAGGGAGAAUGUUCUUGAUAUGCUAUAUAUGUAGAGGCUCCUCUUAACCAAGUAGACGCGUUUUAAAGUCGUGAGGGCCCCCUUGGGCCCAAAGCGGACAAUAUCUACAUAGUUGGGUGCGGGUCAUUACAUGCCAACACCGCGUACUCCAUAUAAUCCAACAAUUCCUACUUCAUCUUCGUCAAAGCAGCUGCACACUUGUGACACGGAGAAUCUAAUCCUAAGGUAUGCCCAAGAGGUAAUUCAUCUACAACAGGACGAGGCAACAUGGCUGCCACAGUUGUAAAAUCUCCUCUUGUUAUUAGGCCCGCCACAAGCGUGCUUAUUUGAGACCACGGAUAGGAGAGCUAUAAGUGGCGGUGCAAUCCCACAGCCUAGUGGCAAGAGUGAGGAUUGGGCUCACAGCUUCCAUGCUCUCAGGGAAUCUGAAAAACCAGGACCCGAAAUUCAAGACGGUAGAAAGAGCAAUGAAGGUGAUGGCUGCUAGCUGUAAUACGGGGGGCCAUGAAUAGUUAGUCCUUUGUACAGCUGGAAGGGCCCGAUGCACUGCAAGUCUACAACUACUGCAACACAGAAUUUAAUUUUUGUUUCCACGUACACAAGAAAGCAUGAUGAAAUUUCAUCAUUUUUGCUCUUUUAAAAAUACAAUACUCAUUAAACACUAUCAUUGACAUCAAAAGGAGGUUGCCAGCCUCAAAUAUGCAUCAACGAUGAUGAAAUGCAACACUAGACAUGGGUGUUUGUGAUUUAUCUUAUUCAAAAUUUCCAAGUAAAAUUAUCAAUGUAUUCAAGUCGGUGACACAAGUGUUUCAUUGCCUCAUGUUGGACAUGCUUUUAUAAGUAUAACUCCUUUUUAUUAUCAGGAACCUAGCAAAACUGGAAACCGCGAACUUAGUAUUUGACUAAGUAAUAAAUAUCUUUUUACAAACAAGCCCUAUACGGAUAAAUUUUCUAGGUGAUACGCAACCCAAUUAACAAAUGAGUCUAUUAUAUAUUUAUUAUUAAAUUUAAUUUAUUCUCAUUAAUUAUUUAUUAUAUAUUAUCAUUUUAUAUUUAAUGAGUUUGAAAAAAUUUAUUAAAAUUAUAAAUACAAAAAAAUGAAAAACUGAAAAAUAGAAAAAAAGAAAAAGAAAUUAAAGAGGGUUCAUGAGAGAAAAUAUAAGUGUCCAAGGCAUGGAAAAGGGGAUGUAGUGGUGGAAAAAAAAGUUAUAAACAUGAUGGAAGGGUACACAUUUUCUCUUUUCUAUUUAUAGAAUAAAAAAUAAUAUUUUUUUUAUAUAGGAUGCAAGAAUUCUUAUAAAAAGUGCAUUUGGUAGUGAUUUCAAGAAGCGUUUCUAGUUUUUAUAAUACUUAAAAGGUAAAAAACUUUAAGUAUUAAAAAUAUUAAAAGCAUUUUUUAAAAUCACUAUCAGACGAACUCUAAAUUGAAAUAAUAAUGAUUUUACAAGCAAAUUAAAAAAGAGAUGUUUUUACAUCAAAUGAUUUUAAAAGAUGUUUCUGAUUUUAGAAACAAAAAACAGAAAGUGCAUGCAUCCAAAUGCACAGUAAGUUUGAGCUUAAUGAAAUAUUUUACAUCUAUUUACAUUAAAUUGAAAACACAAACUAUGGACCCAUCAAAUCAGCAACACCUGCAAAGUGAUGCCUUUUGAGCAGCAUAUACAACUCCACUGCACCAUUUAGAGUUUACAAAAAAUAGUCUCACACAAGCAAACAACAAAUAAUACAACAUUUGAUGUUAUCCCCCACACACCACUCAGCACCAAAGCAUAUGCAAAUAGCUUUAUUCCAUCACACUUCAAACACUCAUCCUGCAUAAAUAACAAUACACAGACAUUGUUAUGAACAGUACAUGGGAACUAUGUCAUGCACCGAGAAAACAUCAAGCUGCAUAAAGUAUAUAAAACAUCGAAUUUGCAAAUACUAUUUCUGAAUCAAUGUUCAAAUUAAAACUUAAUCUGCAGUAGUUGCAGACAAUUCUUUUUUUCGGAAUAUAGAAUCUGUUCUUACGGAUAUUUAAAUUUUCCAACAAAACCAAUUAUAAAAUAAGAGAGGAAAAAAUAAAAUAGCAUUUUUCCAUGUUUAUUAGUCAUAGUGCCAAAGAGCCACUAAGAUUUUGCAGGUAUGUCCACUCAUCCACCAGUGAAGCACCUUCUGUUAAUAAGAUUAGACUUGAGCAACACUUGUGUUUAUACCAUAUGAUUCUACCAAAUAGUUUUAAUUCAAUAAUUUAGGGUUUAGUAUAGAUUUUGAAAUAAGAAAUUUUGUGAAUUUUAGAAGUUUAUGCAUUAAUUUCAACUCUUAAAGAAAGCAGACCUGUUUUGUGCAUUAUAAUCAGUGAAUGAUAUCGGAUGAAAUGACCAACUUAAGUUUUGGAGAUUUGGCUGUGGGUGGUUAAUAGUUAUGGAGAGUGAGUCAAUGGUACCUGUUCCCUCAUGAGUUUUAACUUCUGUGCUUGAGAAGCUGUGUUUAGGUGGCUGCCCUUGAGGUUGAACCUUCUACCACCAGUUUCUUCUUUCCCUGCACUUCCCCUGUUUUGUAUAAGUAGCACCUUUCUAUGAGUUGGUUAUUUUAAUAAAUCAUAAUAAUAACAGUGAUAUUUAAUAAUUAAAGUGUAAAAUUUUCGAUCUCCUACAGCAUUUAAAAACAAAGCAUCACAGCCUAAUACCUGAGUGCUGGAUUGGGUCAGCCAAGUAUUGUGGGCAAAAAUAGUUGGUGAAAGUCUCCUCCACAGAUUCAUCCUUCCAUUCCAACCUUCCCCACCAGGUUAGAUCUCCUUCAAUUUUCUUUAAGCUCUUGGCGGCACUGUUUGAAUCGAUUGGGAGCCUUCUUAGCCUCGGGCAAUUGAUCACGGAGAUUAUUUCCAAUGAGGGGAAGAGCAGUGCCCCCUGAUAGAUGCUCUCUAGCAUUGGCAUACCACCUAAUACUAGAGAUGUGAGCCUUGUGAAUAUGCUGGCGUGCUGUGUACUUGAAGUUACAUAGUCAAUACUUAUCACUUCUUUCAUGGAUUCACAGGAUUGAACACUAAGUGACUGAAGGCAUGCAGCAUAAAUAAGCCAGGUCAAGUUCAACAGUUUUGGACAACUCCAAAUCUUGACAUCACGAAGACUGCGGAAGUGUUGGUUGCUUCUCGCU